GACGAACGCUGGCGGCGUGCCUAAUACAUGCAAGUCGAGCGAAGUUUUUCUGGUGCUUGCACCGGAAAAACUUAGCGGCGCACGGGUGAGUAACACGUAAAGAACCUGCCUCAUAGACUGGGACAACUAUUGGAAACGAUAGCUAAUACCGGAUAACAGCAUUAACUGCAUGGUUGAUGUUUAAAAGUUGGUUUUGCUAACACUAUGAGAUGGCUUUGCGGUGCAUUAGCUAGUUGGUGGGGUAAAGGCCUACCAAGGCGACGAUGCAUAGCCGACCUGAGAGGGUGAUCCGCCACACUGGGACUGAGACACGGCCCAGACUCCUACGGGAGGCAGCAGUAGGGAAUCUUCCGCAAUGGGCGAAAGCCUGACGGAGCAACGCCGCGUGAGUGAAGAAGGAUUUCGGUUCGUAAAGCUCUGUUGUUAGGGAAGAAUGAUUGUGUAGUAACUAUACACAGUAGAGACGGUACCUAACCAGAAAGCCACGGCUAACUACGUG
rnacentral:rRNA from 1 species